AGAACACAUCGACUUCAGCUAGCGACUCCCCCAAAAUCUCAAAUACCUCUCUCUCUAUUCAUCAACCUAGAACACACCGACAAACUCUGUCGACCAGCUCCAGUGAAGGACGAUAACUUCCGGUGAAGGAUGACCAUUAUCGGCUAACAUACGGCAAUCUCCGAGCUGCCCAAGCUCUGUUCGUUUAUCGGUAUUUGGAUUUAUGGUUUUCUUAUUAAUUCGGAGCUUUGCAAAUUGUGUUAUUAAAAGCGAGCGCUUCUCGCUUAAGGCGCAGAAGCGAGGCGAGGCGAGGGGUCUACACUUUUCUGCCCUGAAGCAGGUGCAGCGAUUGCAGAUGAAAGUAGUGAUGAAUACCUUACUUGAGUGUUGUUGAUCGUUGCUAGACUUUCUCAUUAUGUUCCAGAAUAUUUUAGUUUAGAACUUUUUUAUGCAAACUCAUCUAUUUCAACUUAGAAUUGUUGAUCAAACAAUGUAUUCAUACUUUGUUUUUGUAUAUAGAUAAUGCUAGUUUGAUAUUUCAGUGUUA